UACAGAGGUCUCAAGCGUUGUUCGGAUUCAUUGGGCGUAAAGGGUGUGUAGGUGGCGCCGUAAGUCGGGUGUGAAAUUUCGGAGCUUAACUCCGAAACUGCAUUCGAUACUGCGGUGCUUGAGGACUGGAGAGGAGACUGGAAUUCCUGGUGUAGCGGUGAAAUGCGCAGAUAUCAGGAGGAACACCGGUGGCGAAGGCGGGUCUCUGGGCCGAUACUGACGCUGAGGAGCGAAAGCGUGGGGAGCGAAUAGG
rnacentral:rRNA from 1 species